rnacentral:tRNA from 1 species
CAGAGGGUAGUUUAUUUUAAAAUAUUGGUUUUGGAGAUUAAUGAUGGGUGCCCCUUCCUCUGA